CAGUGAGGGUCCGGCGGUAUAGCCGGGGCCUUGGCGGGGCCCGCUCCUGGGGAGGCAGCCUGUCGCUGCGUGUUUCAUUCCUUUGGCCUCCGCUGCUCCCCGCGUUGGGCCUGUCUGGGGAAGAUCACAGGAGCAAUCUUGGACCCUUGCUGGCGAGGUUCUACGAGCCCUACCUACUGCGGAAAGUCAGACCCGGUUAUCAUCAUGGUCCCUUCUGGCCUUAAAAAUCUAUUCAUCAAAACCCCGCGGAUGAGGAUGAGGAAUAACCCAGCCUCUGCUGGGGGGCUGACCCAGGAAUUCUCCGGCAGCCUUUGCCUGAGGCGCUGACUGCCCAGCUGAGCUCUGGUCUACACCUGAAACUUAGAUCGACCUUGCUCAGGGGGUUUUAAAAUGUUACUCCUUGGGGUUUGUCUGCUCUACCGCGCGGGGUCAAGCUACGGUGCCACAGAAAAAUGCUCUGCUGUAUUUGUUUAUGUCUAUGGUCCUGCAUGUUGGAAAUGCAGUGAUUGUUAACACCAGUGAAUAUUUUAGUUGUGAGGCUAAUAACAGUUAUGUAAUCCAAGGAAUGCCUCUUCAAAUUAAGGGCACCAUAGCAAUAUACGCAUAUGAACUACUGAGCAAUUGCUACAUGGUCUGGGAAGACAAGUGCAGUGGAAGGACUAUGACUGCCUUCAUGGUAGAGAAAGGACCUACCAAUGCAGAAUAGACCAUGAGGAGAGAGGAGCUGGCUGCCAGACAAUACUCCAUAUAUCGUCUCCAGGCCAGGUUCAGGCCAGUUCUUACUUUGCCUAAACUGUUUCACCCAGUGUCCAAAUUCACCUUAUCUUAAUUUCUGGAUCUCCUUCCUCAUGUCCUAAAACCCAGACACAGGCAUACUGCACUCCAGCCUCUCUCUAUCCUGGCCUCAGAGGGGCUUGGUGCUAGUGCUCCUCCUUUCCCUAGCACCAGUUCCAAUAUUUUGAAAAUCACAAGGAAGGAGGAAUCCUAUAUAAGUCUUCAUAAUGCUCUUUUCUUCCUUGUAAAAUGCAGGUGAAUACAGUUCUAGCAGUAAUGUGUUUCGGUGUUUUGCUGCAAGUCGGCUGCCUGAAUUUAGUAAAAAAGAGUCUUAGUCUGGGAGCCCAUUAAGGUCGUGGUUAUUACAGAAGCAGCCAGGGAUCCCAGCCAAGGACCUUCUAUUAAUGAUUGGCCUGAAAUAGUUAAAUAAUAACCAA